AUUUGAGCAGACUUGAAGAGGAGAGAAACUGAGACACGCAGGGCUUGUGGUCCCUGACAAGGAGGACCCUGAGGGCAACCACACCUUGCCAUGCAGAGCACCUGGCUUCUCAUCUGCCAAGCUCACUCUGACCCGGCUGCAGGAAGGGAAGGAGCCAACCCCGGACUCAAGACUCAAGGGGACCAGAACCAGGGAGAUGAGACAUACCAGGGCUGGGCAGCUGUGGGGGUCCUUCCAGAGAGGAGCUGAGAUACGCCUACCUGGAGGGGCCCCUGGGCCUGGAGGGGCUCCUCAGUGUGACUGGGUGAAGUGUUUUCAGAGGACCAGGGUUGAGGUUGGGGGCAUCUCAUCCAGACCCUGCCGGCAUCUGCCCCAGAACCCAAGGGCCCCUCCUUCCUCCCUCCUCAAUGGAAAUGCUGGAGAUGUCCUCAGUCACCCUCUGAGCACUCACACAUCACCCCUUAUUUGGAAAUUUUUCUCACUCUAACCUUCCUUCCUGCCGCACCUUCUGCCCCAUCCCCAGGCUCUGGCCUCUCUCUCUCCUCUUCUACCCUUUAGCAGGUAAUGACUCAGUUCCCACUGAGGAGCCAGCUGUAGGUGAGAGUUUGGGCUCUCGGUGAGGUUGGGAGAAGGAAAAGGCUUAUGGGCCAGGGGGUGGGAGGGAGAAUGGGCACAGCCAGAGCAG
rnacentral:lncRNA from 1 species